UACGGAGGGGGCAAGCGUUGUUCGGAAUUACUGGGCGUAAAGGGCGCGCAGGCGGCUGCUCAAGUCCGGCGUGAAAGGCCUGGGCUCAACCCGGGAAUUGCGCUUGAGACUGGGCUGGCUUGAGUGCGGGAGAGGAUGGUGGAAUUCCCAGUGUAGAGGUGAAAUUCGUAGAUAUUGGGAAGAACACCGGUGGCGAAGGCGGCCAUCUGGACCGCAACUGACGCUGAGGUGCGAAAGCGUGGGGAGCAAACAGG
rnacentral:rRNA from 1 species